UUUUUAUUUAGCAAGCGCUCUAUUAUAAAAAAUUAUAUCUAGAAAGAUAGUAUAUAAAAAAUAAACUUAGUUGAAAAUGUAAAAUAACUAGAUUUCAAAAUUUGAACUUGAAACCUCUGGGCAUCAACCGUCGAACUAUAUGCUACCUAUAUUAGGGUCGAUCAGUGUAGAAUGAUUCUUCCUAAUUCGUCAAUAUCGAUCUCUUACACUCGAGACAUACGAUGGCAAUUCAAUUUC
rnacentral:lncRNA from 1 species